rnacentral:rRNA from 1 species
UACGUAGGGGGCUAGCGUUGCUCGGAAUCACUGGGCGUAAAGCGCACGUAGGCGGAUUGUUAAGUCAGGGGUGAAAUCCUGGAGCUCAACUCCAGAACUGCCUUUGAUACUGGCGAUCUCGAGUCCGGGAGAGGUGAGUGGAACUGCGAGUGUAGAGGUGAAAUUCGUAGAUAUUCGCAAGAACACCAGUGGCGAAGGCGGCUCACUGGCCCGAUACUGACGCUGAGGCACGAAAGCGUGGGGGAGCAAACAGG